rnacentral:rRNA from 1 species
GACGACCGCUGGCGGCGUGCUUAACACAUGCAAGUCGAACGGAAAGGCCCUGCUUUUGUGGGGUGCUCGAGUGGCGAACGGGUGAGUAACACGUGAGUAACCUGCCCUUGACUUUGGGAUAACUUCAGGAAACUGGGGCUAAUACCGGCUAGGAGCUCCUGCUGCAUGGUGGGGGUUGGAAAGUUUCGGCGGUUGGGGAUGGACUCGCGGCUUAUCAGCUUGUUGGUGGGGUAGUGGCUUACCAAGGCUUUGCCGGGUAGCCGGCCUGAGAGGGCGACCGGCCACAUUGGGACUGAGAUACGGCCCAGACUCCUACGGGAGGCAGCAGUGGGGAAUAUUGCACAAUGGGCGGAAGCCUGAUGCAGCAACGCCGCGUGCGGGAUGACGGCAUUCGGGUUGUAAACCGCUUUCGCCUGUGACGAAGCGUGAGUGACGGUAAUGGGUAAAGAAGCACCGGCUAACUACGUGCCAGCCGCCGCCGUAACAC